rnacentral:rRNA from 1 species
AUGGAGAACGGAUGCGUAUCAGCCCGGAUCAGGUCGUCCUCUUCUCCUCCCGGCGGCAGCGACACGGCGGCCGAGAGACUCACCGACGACCUCCUCGUCGAGAUCCUCUCGCGCGUGCCCGCCAGGUCGCUCUGCCGCUUCAAGUGCGUCUCCAAGCACUGGCUCGGCCUCAUCAACGACCGCACCUACCGCCGGAAGCUGCCCCAGACCCUGGCCGGCUUCUACGACGGGGGUCAAUUUGUAGAUUCAGGUCUUCCUUUCACCAAUAUCUCGGGAAGCCGCCAUCUCACAUAUCCCGCCUUCCUGCCCGGCCGCCGGCGGGUCAUGGUCGAGGACUGUUGCAACGGCCUCCUUCUCUUCUCCUCAUACGUUGCUGGCGACCAUGGCGACGAGUUAUACGUUGUGUGCAAUCCCGCCACAGAGGAAUGGGCUGAGUUGCCGCAUUCCGGCUAUUCCAGCUAUUCCGGUGAUGUGUCUAGUAUAAACUUGUGUUUUGAUCCAGCCGUGUCCCCCCAUUUCCAUGUGUUUUUGUUGCCGGCCGUGGAGGUGGAUGACCAACAUGGCUUCUGUAUUACCGGAGUGCAUGUCUAUUCAUCUGAAACCGGGAGUUGGGUUCAUAAGGAGAAGAGAUGGAGCGGCAAUAUUGAUGUCGGUUAUGAUCCGUCAUUUAUCUAUCUCAAUGGUUAUCUGCAUUUUUGCGCCAUUGUUGAUGAUUCUGCCCGCCAGCUAGCUGCAGUGGACAAGGAGGGGGGAGCAAGGACUGACUUUCGUGUUCCUGAUGGUCUGGAUGUUGGUUUUAUUCAGCAGUCACAGGGCUGCCUGCAUUAUGCUGGUUUUGACAGAGAUGGCAAUGAUGAUGAUGUUGAUUGA